GCCUGGGUGGCUCAGUUGGUUGAGUGUCUGACUUUGGCUCAGGUCAUGAUCUCACAGUUCGAGAGUUCAAGCCCCACAUCAGGCU
rnacentral:tRNA from 1 species